UGAUGUCGUGGUUGAUGGUGUAAUUGGUAACCUGAUGUGUUGCUUGGUCUAGGAUGCGACGUAGUUCUGGUUCCUUGUCGUAUUGA
rnacentral:tRNA from 1 species